rnacentral:rRNA from 1 species
AGCCUUUAGCCAAACAAGUAUUAAAGGUCCUGCCUGCCCAGUGAUUUUUUUCAACGGCCGCGGUAUUCUAACCGUGCAAAGGUAGCGUAAUCACUUGUCUUUUAAAUAAAGACCUGUAUGAAUGGCUAAAUGAGGAUAAACCUGUCUCAUAUAACUAAUCAGUGAAACUGAUCUCCCAGUACAAAAGCUGGGAUAAUCCCAUAAGACGAGAAGACCCUGUGGAGCUUAAAACAACCACUAAACAACCACCCAGUUGACUUAGUAUUCGUUUUCAGUUGGGGCGACUUCGGAAUAAAAAAUAACUUCCGAGCACAGAGCCACAACCUCUAACCGAGGCCAACAAGCCAAAGCAUAAAAACAGACCCGGCCUAGCCGAUCAACGAACCAAGUUACCCCAGGGAUAACAGCGCAAUCUUCUUCGAGAGCCCCUAUCAACAAGAAGGUUUACGACCUCGAUGUUGGAUCAGGACACCCAAAUGGUGCAGCCGCUAUUAACGGUUCGUUUGUUCAACGAUUAAUAGUCCUACGUGAUC